rnacentral:lncRNA from 1 species
AAGAAGCAAGCACCCCAAAAUCCCAAAUUGUGUUUCUGUCAUCUUCUUCUCUCUCUCUCUAUAUAUAUAUAUAUAUUUGCAUAUGCAAUUCCAAUUCCCCUUCUCAAUUCAGUUCAAUUCAAUUUGUGUGUAGUAAGAAGGUUCCUCUCUCUCUCUUUUCUUUCUGUAUCUGUAAUUCUGCUGUUUGGGUUUUCGUUUUAGUUUUUCUAUCUCUGCCCUAUCAUUUUCUUCAUUAUUACUAUCUUUUCUUUCAAUUCUUCUUCUGUUUGAUCCUUCAUCAUUAAGCUUCUUUUAUCUGAUAUAAAUAAUCUACAUGGUUUUUUAUUUUCAGUUUUACAUUUUACCCCCUUUUGACUUCCUUUCUAAGGGUUUAUUCAUCAACACCAUUGCUUCAUUUUAUUUUCUAUUUCUGUAUUUUUCUAUAAAAUAGUUGAUUUAGUUUAUCUGAUGUCAAUUCCAAUGUUAAUUAUUUGGGUUAAGGGCCGUUUGUUUUGGCUUAAAAGAGUGAUUUUUGGGAAAAUUGAUUUUGGCAAAAGUGAUCUCUUGGAGAAACUGAAAAGUCAACCAACAAAAUGUACAAGCGUUGGAAGUGUUCUAUUUGUACUGAUUCUGUGGAGAGAGAAAGCUUAAAUAAACCAGCAUUCGAUAUUAUUGCUAGUUUUAAUUAUCAUAUUUGUUCAUAUGGAAUUAGAAUUAUAAUUUCAAAUAACAAUUCUAUACCUACUUGCCACUACUAUUAA